GAUUCCAUGAUGAAGGCAGACAAGGGCCCCUGUGGGUCCCCUUCCCCAUUCCGCCAGGGAGUUUACCCUUUUGCAAAAUAAGUUUGGUCUGGAGACGAAGGACAGCCACCCCUUCAACGGCGAAUGUUUCGGAUAGUGGACUUCACAGUCCAGACAGCCCUCUAGACCCCAAGUACAGCAAAGGAACCUUUUCUUUUCCUCCAUGGAAUGAUAAACUCCAGCCCCCCUGGAUGGCAGGAAGCUGCAUCCAGGUCAGCAUCGUGAUUCCAGGCAUUCCUGGGGUCAGUUCAGGAUGUACAGCUUACAGUGCGCCGGGUGCAGCCCAGAGUGCCAGGGUGGGACUUUGUGCCUCUCCUCCUGGUUCUCCUAAACUGCUGGGCUUUGGGAGCAGUCCAUGAGUGAGUGAUGAUCUGCAGGGACCCGCGUGGGUGAGGAGGGAGCACCCACUGCUUUGGCU
ensembl:lncRNA